GCCGGGUGCCGUGGCCCACGCCUGUGAUCCCAGCUACUUGGGAGGCUGAGGCAGGAGGAUUGCAAGUUGGAGGCCAGCCUCAG
rnacentral:sRNA from 1 species